UACGUAGGGUGCGAGCGUUGUCCGGAAUUACUGGGCGUAAAGAGCUCGUAGGUGGUUUGUCGCGUUGUUCGUGAAAACUCACAACUCAAUUGUGGGCGUGCGGGCGAUACGGGCAGACUGGAGUACUGCAGGGGAGACUGGAAUUCCUGGUGUAGCGGUGGAAUGCGCAGAUAUCAGGAGGAACACCGAUGGCGAAGGCAGGUCACUGGGCCGCAACUGACGCUGAGGAGCGAAAGCAUGGGGAGCGAACAGG
rnacentral:rRNA from 1 species